ensembl:lncRNA
CAAAACCUUUUCUAGAGUCACAGCAGAAAGUUGUAGGCAGGUGGAAUGCAAUUAGUUAAGCUGAAAUCAAGCUAGGGGUUGUUGGAGAAUUUACCUGGCAACAGCUGUAAGCAUGCAGGGUUUGGGAACUGAUGAACUGCAGCUGUGUGGAUGAGUGCACAGCAGGGGAAGAGAAGGUAGGAGGUGAGGGAAGAGGAGGAGCAGGGAGACAAGAUUUCUAGAGACACAGGCCUGACCGGAAGGGUAGAUUUGGGAUUUGUAAGGACAAUUUUAUCACAGACCAUGGCAUUCGGAACUUGCUGUAUUAUUUGACUGUUACGGGAAUAUCACAAGGUGUUCUGGUCUUGAUGCUUUCCUACUCCCAGACACUUAGUCCCAAGUAUUUAUGGGACUGCAGAGGACAAGUCCCAGGAGUUGGCAAGUGAUUUUUUCCAGCACUAGGUGGCUCUAUGGAGUUCUGCAGCAUCCUGGACAGAAACGUUUAAAAAGUUAAGG